GAGGCCAGCGCAAAAAGAUUAAAUGCCAAUUUAUUCAGCUCCUGGGCAAGGUCCCACGGUCCUGGGGAAAGGGGCCAGGGAAGUCAGCUCGACUCCUCUGGGCGUGGGGUUUUAUAGGGAGUGAAGGCGUUUGAUUGGCUAUGGAGAAACAGGACGUGGACGUAGCAAGCUGCUAUAGGUAGGUGGGCGGGAUUUCCAGACAGGGCAAUGUGCUAUUGGUCAGGUUUUGGCGGGGCUUUCCAAGGGCGGGCUAGAUGCCAAGUGCAGAGGGGAUUUCCAAGGCGGAGCUAGAUAUGGGCGUAUUCUGGUGACGUAAUUUUCAGGCCGGGAGAGGGAUGGGCCUGUCGGAGCUCCUGGCGAGGCAACCAGCCUUACAAUUUACAAAUGUUCUUUCCGUGGCAGUGACCCAAAAGCUGAUAUGUCUAUUGCCUGAGGAAGGCGAGGAAGUCUGUCUGCAAUGUCUGCUGCAUCCAUCUUAGUAGUAGCCACUCCUGGAAAUGAUAUCACUGCUCGAGCCCCCUUGCCCCUGCUUACAGGACAAGGACACCUUGCCGCAACAGGUACCAGUUAACUCAAUGAUUUUUUUACUGCUGGGAAAGUGGAGCAAAAGUUCUGGGCUUUUGCUCUUCCAGGUUCCUGUACUUGGAAGAGUCUUCUCUCUGAUUAAAGCUGCCAUGUCAGAUCAGAAUCAUCUCUAGGUAAGGAGAUGCCUGACCUUCUGGAUUAAUUUCCUAGGCCUGCUGUAACAAAGUACCACAAACUGAA
rnacentral:lncRNA from 1 species